rnacentral:rRNA from 1 species
AGGACAAACGCUGGCGGCGUGCCUAAGACAUGCAAGUCGGACGGGGGACUUCGGUCCUUAGUGGCGGACGGGUGAGGAGCGCGUGGAGAACCUGCCCUGGGGUGGGGGAUAACACUCGGAAACGAGUGCUAAGACCGCAUACGACCGGUAGUUGAUGGACUAUCGGGGAAAGCAGUGAUGUGCCCUGGGAGGGCUCCGCGUCGGAUUAGCUGGUUGGUGGGGUAACGGCCUACCAAGGCUGCGAUCCGUAGCUGGUCUGAGAGGACGGCCAGCCACACUGGGACUGAGACACGGCCCAGACUCCUACGGGAGGCAGCAGUUAGGGAAUUUUGUCAAUGGGCGAAAGCCUGAACGAGUGACGCCGCGUGCGGGAUGACGCCUUUCGGGGUGUAAACCGCUUUUCCCCAGGACGAGGAUGGACGGUACGUGGGGAAUAAGUCUCGGCUAACUACGUGCCAGCAGCCGC